rnacentral:rRNA from 1 species
UACGGAGGGGGCAAGCGUUGUCCGGAAUCAUUGGGCGUAAAGAGCGUGUAGGCGGCCUGGUAAGUCCGCUGUGAAAGUCCAGGGCUCAACCCUGGAAUGCCGCUGGAAACUGUCUGGCUAGAGUCCGGAAGGGGCGAGUGGAAUUCCUGGUGUAGCGGUGAAAUGCGCAGAUAUCAGGAGGAACACCAAUGGCGAAGGCAGCUCGCUGGAACGGUACUGACGCUGAGGCGCGAAAGCGUGGGGGAGCGAACAGG